rnacentral:rRNA from 1 species
CAUGUCUUUUUGAUAAUAAUUUAAAGUCUGACCUGCCCAAUGAAUUAGUUUAAAUGGCCGCGGUAUUUUGACCGUGCAAAGGUAGCAUAAUAAUUAGUUUCUUAAUUAGGAACUGGAAUGAAUGGUUGGACGAGAAAAAAACUGUCUCAAUUUAAUUUAAAUUAGAAUUUUAUUUUUAAGUAAAAAAGCUUAAAUAAUUUUAAAAGACGAGAAGACCCUAUAGAGUUUAAUAUUUUAAUUUAUGUAUAAAAGUUUAAGAAUAAAAAAUUUAUUUAUAAGUUAAAAUAUUUAAUUGGGGUGAUUGAAAAAUUUAAAGAACUUUUUUUAUUAUUAUUACAUUAAUUUAUGAGUAAAUGAUCCAUAUAUUAUGAUUAUAAGAUUAAAUUACCUUAGGGAUAACAGCGUUAUUUUUUUUGAGAGUUCUUAUUGAAAAAAAAGUUUGCGACC